ensembl:lncRNA
AAUGGUUUCUCUGGAGUGGCACUGGUUUCAACAUAGGUGCACAAAGGAAGAGCUUUUGCAGAUUGCUGAACAAUUUGAUGUGGAUGUAACAAGCAGUGAUGGAAAGCUCAAGGAAACGCUGAUGAAAGUUGUGAAGAGUGGACUUUCUGAGCAAGGUUUUUUAGAGAUAACCUCCUUUUGGACUGGGAGGUGUAACGACCCUAAGUCUUCUCCAGAUCAUAUUGGACGGAGUGUGGCAGUUCCUAAUUGGUCUUCUCUGUUAAUCUUUAAUUAGUAGCAUAUAUAAUUGUGUUAUCUGAUGACUAAGACGGGGCACUCUGGUUUUAACAUGUAAGAUCUUGUUGAUUUAUGCUAACCUUUGUUCCCCUUUGCAU